CGCCAUGCUUCUCAUCACGCCGAUAACGGACCAAACCUCGGAAACUGGAACCCAGCCCCAGUUAGAUGUGUUCUGUGUCAUGGUGUCAACUUCACAGCAAUAGAAAACCUAAGACACUCUGUGACACAGUUGUCGCUGUGUGUCACCUCGACUGUUACUGGACACAUCUGUGUAAUAAGAAGCAAUAAGAGAGAUACCCAGCAUCCUUGGGGGAAAUAAUAGAUGAAAAUUCUUAAUCCUCACCCUGAGAAAUGAUGCUCUCAAGGUAAUCAUCCUUCGCCAUCAAGGGAAAACAAAUAAGAGUUCCACUGAAACUAGAUGUGGUGGGACAAGCCUGUGAUCCAAGCCUCGGAGGCCGAGGCAGGAAGGUCUCAAGUUCAAGGCCAGCUGGAGAUGCGGCUCAGUCUGACAUACGUGAGGCACUGGACUCAUCCCCAGGACCAGGAGAAACAAAACAAUAGGAAUGAGAGCUGCAUUGGGCGUCCACCUUGCAGUCAGAACAGUUAUCACCAAGUAAGCAAAGAGCACUAACGCUCAUGAGGACGUGUGCAAAGAGGAACUCGAAUUUACCAGUGGUUAUCGUCAAGUAAACAAAGGACCACAAAAGCUGGAAAAGAGGAACCCUAAUUUACUGCUGGGGGCAGGGGCGGGGGCGGGGGCGGACCGGGACAUAUAAACCCAAUGUGGCCACUAUGGAAAUCAGUGUGGAGGUGCCUCAAAGAAACAACUAAAAUACAGCCACCUUCCGGUCCAGCUCUACCACUCCUGCGAAUACACCUAGACUAGAGGAAUCUGAGUCAGGGCUACUUGCACAUCCAUGUUUACAGCUGUGCUAUUCACCGCAGCCAAGAUACGGAACCAACCCUAGGUGCAUCGACAGAUGCAAAGGAAAACGGAUGGAAUCAAGUAUAGUGAAAUAAGCCAGACUCAGAAAGACAAACAGCACAUCUUCUCUCCUAUGGGGGAUUUAGAUUCAAGUGUAAACCUACACGAAUGCAUGGAAGACAUGAAAAUAGAAGGUAGCUAUGGGUUGGGACGGACCGAUCUAAAGGAUGGAAGAGUGAGGAACCAGAGAUGAUAUUUGGGGCAUAAAGUCAAAAUACUGCACAUUUUCUCUCACAUGCAAAAUCUAGGUCUACACACACACACACACACACACACACACACACACACACACACACACACAAUGAAGUCCAUUAUCUUGUAGGCGGUCUAAGGAAAUCAGUGAAGAAGAAAAUGCACCCUAGGAGGAGGGACCUUGUGAACUUACUGCUUCAGGAGUGCUCACAGCAGGGUAAUGUUUACCCAGACCAGAUGUCUUAGCAGCAGAGCAGAACACACUUCCCAUCUCCCUGCUGGCCUGAGCAGAGGCCACAUUGUCCCAACCACAAGAUCACACAACUCGGGUUUAUGUAACUCCUUUAGAUUCGGAAAAUUAAUAAAAGGGCACGGGAGAGGGGAUGGGUGCCUAGGCACAGGAGAUGGGGAGAUGGUGUAGACUAAAGUCAUAACGAACUGGGUGCAAAGAUCUAGUUGGCUGCAGUCGGUGACUAGGAGGUGUGCAACACCCCAGCCACAGUGCAGGAGGGUGCGCCUCUGGUCACUGCAGGAUGGUCGGGUUCUGUGAGCUGCCUGUGCAAGAACAAGGAAAACUACAGUGUAGAAACAGGAACGGUCAACAUUGGGUUGCUUCAGGUCACCUUCGUGUACAAACUGGAGCAAAAGGCAUUUCCUUACGCUGGCCCAGACUGACUGAGUCGCUGACGAUUGACUGAGGCAUCUUCUGUUGCUUGCUUCCGUUUACAGCCCCAAGCCAGGGAUGGCUCCGCUUCCUUUUCUCACUCCGCCCCUGUCUCUCUCACAUCUGUGAAGACACGAGGAGAAAGUAGCCAUCUAUAAGCCUGGUCGAAUCUUCUCUGACACCCUCAUCUGGCGCUUCCUAGACUGUGAGGACAAAUGCUUGCUACUUCAGCCAACUGGUCUGUGGCAUUUGGUGAUGGCAUCCUGGGCCAACAAACUCACAAGCCAAAUAUACUACCACUUCUGCAGUGAAAUAAUGUUCAAACUAAGUGUGCUAAAGACAAUAAAUACUUUUUUUUAUGGUU